rnacentral:rRNA from 1 species
UACAGAGGGUGCGAGCGUUGUUCGGAAUUAUUGGGCGUAAAGGGCGCGUAGGCGGUGCGGUAAGUCACCUGUGAAAUCUCCUGGCUCAACUGGGAGCUUGCAGGCGAAACUGCCGUGCUGGAGUGUGGGAGAGGUGCGUGGAAUUCCUGGUGUAGCGGUGAAAUGCGUAGAUAUCAGGAGGACCACCUGUGGCGAAAGCGGCGCACUGGACCACAACUGACGCUGAGGCGCGACAGCGUGGGGAGCAAACAGG